rnacentral:rRNA from 1 species
CAGUCGCCACGGUAAUACGUAGGUGGCAAGCGUUGUCCGGAAUUAUUGGGCGUAAAGGGCUCGCAGGCGGUUUCUUAAGUCUGAUGUGAAAGCCCCCGGCUCAACCGGGGAGGGUCAUUGGAAACUGGGAAACUUGAGUGCAGAAGAGGAGAGUGGAAUUCCACGUGUAGCGGUGAAAUGCGUAGAGAUGUGGAGGAACGCCAGUGGCGAAGGCGACUCUCUGGUCUGUAACUGACGCUGAGGAGCGAAAGCGUGGGGAGCGAAUAGGAUUAGAUACCCCUGUAGUCCCUGUCUCUUAUAU